GUAGGUGAACCUGCGGAAGGAUCAUUAACACUCCAAAACUUCUCAUAGCUCUGGGAAACCAGAGUUUAUGAAACCCUAUUCACAUUAGCGAACCCGGCUGGAUCUAGUCGCAAGACUCUAUCUAAGCUAUUUUCUUUUGUCCAUUUCAUUUUUAACCCCAAUCAUUAUAACUUUUAUUUGACUGACUGGAAGACCUCAAAAAUCUUCCGUUGCUCUUCGCUCUAACCAGUGGAGGCAAUGAAAACUUACA
rnacentral:misc_RNA from 1 species